rnacentral:rRNA from 1 species
AUGAACGCUGGCGGCGUGCCUAAUACCUGCAAGUCGAGCGAACAGACGAGGAGCUUGCUCCUCUGACGUUAGCGGCGGACGGGUGAGUAACACGUGGAUAACCUACCUAUAAGACUGGGAUAACUUCGGGAAACCGGAGCUAAUACCGGAUAAUAUAUUGAACCGCAUGGUUCAAUAGUGAAAGACGGUUUUGCUGUCACUUAUAGAUGGAUCCGCGCCGCAUUAGCUAGUUGGUAAGGUAACGGCUUACCAAGGCGACGAUGCGUAGCCGACCUGAGAGGGUGAUCGGCCACACUGGAACUGAGACACGGUCCAGACUCCUACGGGAGGCAGCAGUAGGGAAUCUUCCGCAAUGGGCGAAAGCCUGAUGGAGCAACGCCGCGUGAGUGAUGAAGGUCUUCGGAUCGUAAAACUCUGUUAUUAGGGAAGAACAAAUGUGUAAGUAACUAUGCACGUCUUGACGGUACCUAAUCAGAAAGCCACGGCUAACUACGUG